CAUAAGGUCUGAUUUGGUCCUUUGGAAGUAGUUUGUUACUUCCUGCUUGAAUCAAAAAAGUGUUAAUAAUGCAGAUUAAACUUAAAUAUAUAUAUGAGGUAGAACUUACUAGAAUUACUCUUGCCACUUUGAUGAUAAGGAAACUGAAGCUCAGAAAAUUAAGUUGAAUUGCUUAAAGUCACACAGGUCUUAAUUGGUAGGGAUUAGGUUUGAACUCAGAUCUCCUGAGUCUAUGUCUGGUGAUCUUUCUCCUAGAACAUUAACAGAAUUGACAUGCAAUGGGCAUUUAAAAAUAGGAUAAAGAACUCAAAUCUAGUGAAAGUUGAAAAAUCAAUCAAUCAAAAAGUUCCAAUAAUUGAGGAAUUUCUUUCUUCUGAGGCCAUGAAAUGUGCACUAUUCAAUCAGCCAUGUGAAUCUCUACAGCCACCUACUGGCCACUUCCGUUGUAAGAGAGUAGAAAUCAGGUCGCUGGAGGAGUUAAUGGCUGGGAAAUGCCCUAACAAAUCAAGUUAAUGAAAAACAAAUAGGAGACACCACAAACUUGUAAAGGAUACGUUUAAUCCUUACACAUUUUUGGUGUCUUAUAUCUCCAUUUUUAUUCAUUAGAAUGCAAUCUCCUUGAAGGCAUGGUCUGUAAUUUUUAUCUCUAGGUUUUAUCAGAAUGUCUUUUACCUUUCAGGCCCUUUAAAAUAUUUAUUGAAUUGAAUUCUUUCAGCAAGAAAGACAUUUAUCAGGCAUCGAGUGUAUAAAACGCUGAGGAUAUGAUAGUACACACCUCUUGUUCCUACAAAGAUUAAAAUCUAAUGAGUGAAGAAGAAAGGGACACAAAACUAAGUGAAAAUUCUACAUCAUGGCAAAACGCCUCGAGAAAUUUGCAGAAAAGAUCCUUUUCAAACAGAGAGAUCAGGGAAAAUCUCAGGAAGGAAAUGGAUCCCUAGAUGAAGAAAAGAAAGGAGGGAAGAAAUUCAGAAGAAGAAAAAUAAAGGGGACAGAAUGAGCAAUGUAUGGAGAUGAGGGGGAAAGACAGGGAUGAGAGAAGUCCAGUUUGAAUGCAACUUAGAUAAUUGAAGAACAAUAGUAUAAGAUGAAGCAAAAAAUAGUAGAGUGGUAGCAGCUUUUAUAGGCCAAUGAUGCUGGAACACAAAGUUUUGC
rnacentral:lncRNA from 1 species